UUGCAGAACAAGUUCUCAGGGC
rnacentral:miRNA from 7 species